CUGGUUUGAUUAGCGGGGAAAGUACAGUUUCCUUAGCUCAGCAUCCUCCGCCACCAAAUCUCCGCUUUCCCCUUUGAUUUGCUUAAGCCUCCUCCACCUGUGCCGUCAUUAUAGCCUCCAAGCUAGCCAACUUCAUCCACCAGACUGAUCCAACCUUUGACACCAACUUCAUUUCACUUCCAAAUUGUAAAUCAAAGUAAAGAGUUGUUUUUGACGAAAACCCAAUAAUCAUCUUCAACUAAAAGGCUCAAAUUUAACAUUUUGAAUCAGAAAAGGAAGGAAAAAGAAAGAAGUGGGAAAUGGAGAUAACUGCCAGAGCUCCAGGGAAGAUCAUACUCGCCGGUGAACAUGCUGUGGUUCAUGGAUAUGCUGCUGUUGCUUCCUCCAUUAAUCUCUAUACUGUUGUCUCUCUUCGUCUUGGUUCUGAGGAUGAAGAUACAAUACAACUUCAGCUCAACGAUGUUGGAUUAGACUUUUCUUGGCCAGUUGAAAGAAUCAAAGAACUGCUAUCUCAUUUAGGUUCUCCAUUUUCGUCUACACCCACAUUAUGCUCACUGGAGACUGUUAAAUCCAUCAGCACUCUAAUUGAUGACCAAAAUUUCCCUGAUACAAAGGUUGGACUUGCUUCUGGGGUUUGUGCAUUUCUUUGGUUGUACACCUCUAUCUUAGGGUUUAAGCCAGCUACAGUUAUUGUUACUUCUGAGCUUCCAGUGGGUGCUGGCCUGGGUUCAUCAGCUGCAUAUUGUGUUGCACUUUCCGCUGCUCUGCUGGCAUUUUCAGAUUCUGUGAAUUUGGACGUAAGCCAAAAAGGAUGGUUGAUUUUUAAGGAGACUGAUAUUGAAUUGCUGAAUAGGUGGGCUUUGGAAGGAGAGAAGAUAAUUCAUGGAAAGCCCUCUGGAGUUGACAACUCAGUUAGCACAUUUGGCAACAUGAUAAAAUUCAAGUCAGGUGACAUGGCCCGUAUCAAUUCCAAUAUGCCACUGAGAGUGCUCAUUACCAACACAAAAGUUGGGAGGGAUACAAAAGCAUUGGUUGCCAAUGUUUCAGCAAGGAAAUCUAGGCAUCCCAAUGCCAUGUGUUCUGUGUUAAAUGCCAUUGAAGCUAUCAGCGAUGAAUGGUCUGCCAUUAUCCAGUCACAUGCUGUAGAUGAUUUAGCCGAGAAUGAAGAGAGGCUAGGAGAGUUAAUGGAAAUGAAUCAGGGUUUGCUCCUAUCUAUAGGUGUCAGCCAUGCAUCUAUAGAAACUGUUCUUCAGACAACAAUGAAGUAUAAGCUGGCUUCCAAAUUGACAGGAGCCGGUGGUGGAGGCUGUGUGCUAACACUCUUACCAACCCAGCUAUCAGGGGCAGUUGUUGAUAAAGUAGUGGAGGAGCUAGAAUCAUACGGGUUUCAGUGUUUCACAGCUGGAAUUGGUGGGAAAGGUGUUCAAAUUUCCUUUGAAACAUCUUCCUGAUUUCCCUCUCCAUGUCUGUGUUGUAGUAAGAUCUUUCUUCGAAUAAAAACAUGAAGCAGAUGAUACAAGAUAAAACAUCAAUGCUUUGGAUAUUUCGACUCUCAAAAAUCUGCUCGAGCUCCUGGGCAAGUGCAAUGCUCCUCAAGCAGUAGCUGGGCUUGGAAGAAACUGCUUAAACUCAGGCACCAGACACUUAUCAGGCCAUGCGACAUCAACAGACUAGAGUGGAUUGGGAUAGGCUACUAGUUUCAAUAUAACAUUCCCAAGCAUGCCAUGAUUGCUUGGAUGACCAUCCUAGACAAACUGCCCACUCUCAACAGGCUCUCUACAUGGAGUAUUCCAAUUGCUACCAGUUUAUGUUUUCUUUGAGGAUAGAGAUCAUUUAUUCUUCUUCUGUUCCUUCUCCAGGCAGUUGUGGACCGGAGUACUUCACUGCUCUGGUAUUUUCAAGACUGUUUGAAGUUGGUCAGAUGAGUUUGUUUGGGUCAAUGUCAAUGCAAGUUGCUGAAAGGAAAAUCUUUCCCUGUGGUUAUCCUCAAGAUAGCACGGUUGCUUGUAUCUAUUUCCUUUGGAUGGAAAGGAAUUGCAGGGAAGUUUGUAAAGCUAGCUCGUGAUGUUGAUGCUCUUUUCAAGGUUAAUCCCAAGUGGUUAAAGAUAAAGAUGCCUUGUUUAUGUCAGAGUUGGAGGAUUGCUGAUGAUGCUGUAUUAUAAAUACUUUCUUUGAUCAGUUUUGUCACUGAUUUAUUUUAGUAGGAAGCAGCAUAUUCUUGCCCGUUGGAUAAAUAAAAAAUUUGCAUUUAUCCAAAAAAGACGAAACAUCGGCUUGGUAAACCAU